CGCAAAUCGUAAUUGUUUAUUAAAUCUGUGAACAAGUAGUUAAUUCGGUACUUGGGUAAAGGUCACCCGUACCGAUAACAUCUAAGAACACAUUUUUUUGCUAUUAAUCUAAAAAAAGUAAACACGGUGUGAACAAACACACUAGAUAGUGGAUAACAAUUUAAAUACAAUAAAUGAAGUCAUUUCCAACCAAGUCCAAGCGAUAGAAAAAAGCCAGUAUUGAAAUGAGCCGAUGACAAUGACGACCACAGUGACAUCACCUCUAUAUAAAGUUUUGUAAGAAUUUUCGUGAAACAGCAAUCACAAUCAAUCGAGUGAAGACCUGGGUUCAAAAACCAGUUCAAAAAACGAAGAAAAUUACGUGGAAAGUAUUUUAAUGGGCCUAAAGCAAGAGCUAGAAUGAAGAAAAUGCACUUUUCUCAGGUCCUGUGACAGUUCUACAUUUGAUAAGUGAGGAACGCAAGUGUGAUAAAUAUUUUGAUAGAGAGAAAAUACUUUCGUCACGGACUUUUCGUAAAAUUUUUUCCACAA